UCGUCGGGGGCUGCGGCUGCGGCUGCGGCCGGGGCUGCUGCUGGGAGGCCGCUUAUCAAAUUGGCUCCAUCAGACGGUCCAGUACACGAUCCGAUUCGAUGCGAUCCGAGUCAGUUGCGUUCCUACGUUACGAUCGAGCGGUUCGUUUGGCGGUUGCGGCUACGAUUUGCGGUUGUGGUUGCGGUUGUGGUUACGGCUACGGUUGAUACCCGGGCUCGUCUAGGGAUUGCGAUUCCUCUCAGUGUGUGUGUGUGGAUUCUGAACGGAGGUUGAGGCUGUGGCUGAGGCUGAGGCUGAGGCGGCGUCUCUAAAUUGAAGCCACUUAAGUAAGCCGCAAAGGGGAUCUCUGAAAGAAAUCUCGCACAAAAACACACAGAACACAACAACGGCUCCGGGCAUGAAUCAACCUAGCGGCCGCGGAAGUGUUAAUUUAAAGUCCAAAGACGACAUUUAGAUACGGUCUUCCAACUACUAUCUGAGAGUGUUCCAUUGUCCGCCCAAUAAAUCGUGGGUCUCUGUUUUUUUUUUUGUUUUUUUUUUGUGUCACUGAAUUAUGUGUUUGCUGAUGUCCGAUGAGAUAUAUACAUAAAUCAAUAAUUAAGUGAUAAUUAUUUAUAGUGUGAAUUAGACGGAGGGCAUUGAAAAAAUCUCCUCGGACGUGUUGUAAAUCGCUGGAAAUCGCUGCCCGAAAGAGCUCCGCUAGAGCUCAACCAGUUUCCAACAACAAUAACACAUACUCAUGAUGGGACACGGACAGCCCCUAGUGGUAGCACUGCUCUGCUACCUCGGCGCCUGCACGUCGGCCCUGAGCCUGCCCAAUAUGACGGCGUCCGAUGGGGCCGCUAGUGGAGGCCUGAUAUUGCCCCCGCUCGUUGCGGGGCCCAGCGGCAGCAGCAUCGGUAGCAGCAACGGCAGCCUGAUCAGCGGCGGCGGCGGCAGCGGCCUGGCAGUGGGCAUUCCCGGCGGACAGUCCACAGCUGAGGCGGGCGGAGGAGGAGGAGCCACCAGUCUGGGCGGCAGCCAAAUGGGUGGCAGCAUUGGCGGCGGCGGCAGCAGCAGUGGCGGCGGCCUCAGCGGCAGUGGCAACAACUCGGCCAUGGUCCAGGCGCCCAAGGAGAAGCUGUACGAGAAGUGUACGGGUCCCGGGGAUCCGGGCCCGUGCAAGCAGUACAUCUACAAGUGGCGCUACGAGCCGACGACCAACGAGUGCACCAACUUCAUUUGGGGCGGCUGCGAUGGCAAUCCCCAGAAUCGUUUCAGCACCGAGGCGGAGUGCCUGUUCCACUGCAUUGGAGGGCCACACACAUUGCCGCCAUUCCUGCAGUCAACCACUCGCGAGCCCAGCACCACAGAGAGCUCGCAGCUCAUUGGAUCGGCGUACACCCAGAGUCCGGCCCAGGCCGCACAGGAUGAGGACGGCAGGACGGGAGAUGGCACCACCCCAGUGCCCAUCGAGCAGCGCGGCCCUGAGCUGACGUUUGCGGAGACGGGCCAAGGCAAAACUUUCGUUUUUGCCAAGAACAACACGUUCAUCCAAAUGGACGGCGACAUCAUACAGACAUUUCAAUUAAGACUUUGCCGUGAGAUUUCAUUUCAAUUCCGUACUCGACUGCCGCACGGCCUGCUCGUCUAUCACAACGUUAAGAAUCCGGAUCGCAUUAAUUUGGACCCCUAUGCACUCUAUGUGAUUGUGGAGAAGGGCCAACUGAAGGUGGUCCAUGUCUUUGGCAAGCAUUCAACGAGUGUCACUGUGGGCGAGAGCCUGAAUCGAGAUGAAUGGCACAGUGUGAUGGUGCGCAUCGAUGUCCAUGGGGCAAGAUUAAUUGCACGCGUCGACAAUAGUCAGGAGGAGGUAUAUCUGAAAGGACUGAAUCACGAGUACAACUAUGGCGUCUCCACGAAUCUGCCGUCGGUUGUGCUGGUUGGAGGCCUUUCGUCGGAGGAGAAGCUGCACGGCGUGAAGUACAUUACGGAAUCCUUUGUGGGCUGCAUACGCAACGUGGUCCUGAGCUCUGGCAAGGCUGCCUCCGAUCUGCUGUCCAUUGCCCCGCUGGUGGCCACCAAGCAUGAGAACGUCAACGAGGGAUGCUUUGAUAUGUGCGACUCUCGGCACAAUCUGUGCUUUGUGGGCUCCCGUUGCAUCAACCACUAUGGGGGCAUCUCCUGCGACUGCUUUGGCACCCACUACGAGGGCGAACACUGUGACAUCUACACGGCCACCAUAAUCACGCUGCGCGGUGCCAGUUAUGUGUCGUACAGGAUCUACGACUGGAAGGAUCGCGUACACUCAUCGACGAUGCGGAUUAGCCUGAUGUUCCGGACGAACUUUGACGACUCGGCCCUGUUCUACGCCAGCGGGGAGUCGCUUAAGCAUCAGUACAUAGCGGCGGCCAUCAAGAACCAGUCGAUUCAUGUGGAGAUGGACUUUGGCGACCAUGUGAUGGCCACAGUGCUCACCGAUGACCUGACCCGCGGCUACUGGCACAAUCUGACCAUCCUGCAUGAGCAGCGUACGGUGAGCAUUAUCCUGGAUCAACAGCAGAAGGUGCUCGAGCUGCCGGCCACGACCAGCGGUAACCUGCUCUUCGAUCCGGAGAUCUACUUCGGUGGCGGCCCCGAGCUGCACAAGAAGAAGGGCUUGGCCUCGCACAACAACUUCGUGGGCAGCAUGAAGUACGUCUACUACAACGACAUCUCCAUUCUGUACGAGCUGCAACGUGGCAAUCCGAAGAUGCACUAUCACGGUGUCCUGGAGGCGGAGUUUCUGGAGAACGAAGUGAACGUCAUACCCAUAACCUAUCCCUUUGCGACGUCACACAUUUGGUGGCCCAUAAAUCACGCCGAAGAAUUUAAUAUUAAAUUCGAUUUCCGCAGCAGUCGGCCAGGCGCUGUCCUGGCCUACAGUGACGUAACGACCAGUGCCGGAAAUGGCUUCUGGGAGAUACGUCUCACAUCGGACAAACUAAGCUUCGAUCUGGUUCCCGACGUUAACAACAAUGUGACACACUCGACGACCAUCAAAAUCAAUCGUGCCACCUCCUGGCACAGCGUCGAGGUAGACUAUAAGCUGGGCGAGAUCCGGUUCACUGUCGACUACCGGCACACCCUCAGCCAGAUGUACGGCCUAACCUUUAACAUUGGCGACAAGCUCAUCAUCGGCAGCAGCCUAAAGUCAGCGGCCAUGGGCCUGGUGGGCUGCAUCCGUGACAUUGAGAUCAAUGGCCAUUUGAUUGAGCCACGGCAUGUGGUCAAGACGGAGCGAGUGGUGGGCGAGGUGGCGCUGGAUAACUGCAACUACAUUGAUCCCUGCAAGCGGCCCAACACCUGCGAGCAUGGUGGCAAGUGUUUCGUCAAGGACGAUCGCGUCACCUGCGACUGCAAGCACACGGGCUACAUCGGCAAGAACUGUCACUUUACCAAGUACCGCAAGACCUGCGAGGAGCUGGCGCUUCUGGGCUUCACCAAAUCCGAUGUCUACCUCAUCGACAUCGAUGGCAAUGGGGUGUUCCCGCCGGCCCAUGUCAAGUGUGAUUUUCAGAGUCUGGAGAAUGCCACCAAGACGAUUGUCGAGCACAAUCUGCCCAGCCAGGUGGAUGUGCGGUCGGCCCGGGAGUCGGACUUUAGCUUUAAUAUACGCUACCGCGAAUUCUCCCCCCACAUGCUGCAGGAGCUCAUCUCGCACUCGCUCUACUGCACGCAGUACAUCAAGUACGACUGCUAUCGGGCCCAGCUGGAGCUGCAUUCCUCCACUUGGUUCACGUCCUCGGCCAAGAAUCUCACCGUUGACUUUCUGGGCAAUGUCAAGAGAGGCGCCUGCCCGUGCUCGGUUAACAAGACGUGCGUGGACCCGAAUCAAUCAUGCAACUGCGAUGUGAAAGAGAACAAAUGGAAUUCGGAUGAGGGAUACUACCAGGAUCCGCCCAGUUUGGGCAUCACCAAUAUGUACUUCCUGCAGCAAAAGGAUCUGGACGACGAGGCCCAGGGUCGCAUCACGCUCGGACCCCUGGAAUGUGUAGAGACAAAUACACAGAAAUACGUGGUCACCUUCACCACAUCGCAGUCGUAUAUCGAGGUGCCCGGCUGGCGGAAGGGCGACAUUGCCUUCUCGUUCCGCACCACCGGCGAGAAGGCCAUCCUGCUGUUCCAGCCACCGAUACGUGCCCACUAUCCAUCGUUCAUGGUGGCCCUCACCGGCGACGACCAGCUCACGUUCACCUUCACAUUGAGCACGGGGACCACCCGCGAGCUGGUCAUUAACUCGCACCGCCGGCUGAAUGGCGGCGAAUGGCAUAAAAUAUGGAUCGACUACAACCAGUAUCAUGUGCGCUUCAUGAUAAACACCGAUUACCAGAUGCUCGAUUUGCUGCCCGAGGAGGAGUUUGGUCCAUUCGAGGGCAGCAUGUACAUUGGCGGCGCCACAUUCGACCUGCUCAAGAAGCUGUCCGUUAAGGCUGGCCUUAUUGGCUGCUUCCGUGGCCUGGUGGUCAAUGGUGAGAUACUCGACAUCUACAGCUACAUGUCAGUGCAUCUGUCGGAGAUUAUCAAGGACUGCAAGCCAUCUUGUGUGCCCUCGCCCUGCCGCAACGGUGCCCAGUGCAAGGAGCUGUGGAGCAGUUUUAAGUGCGUCUGCAACAACCCGUGGGCCCACAUCGGGGAGUUCUGUGAGACAAACAUCAACGAGAAGGCUCUGACCUUCAUCAACCGUGAGUCCUUCCUAAUGCGCAACUACCUCAGUGUGGGCGCCACGCCUGCCAUCCUAAUGCACGGCCUGGAAGGCGAACGGGAUGUACUGAAGGGCAUCCUACACCAGAAUCUGCUCAUCAACCUACGCACCUACGACUCCAAUGCCCUGGUUGUCUAUGCCAACGAUCACUACAACAACUUUGUGCAUCUGUACAUCAGCCAGAACCGGGAGAUUGUCUUUCUCUACAACUACGGCGAUGAGAUUGUCAAUCUCACAUUGCUGGACGAUACACUGAUGGCCUCGAAGAGCCUGAAGAGCAUCCAGGUGGCCAUUAUCCGGGGAGAGCAGGAGACCCGCAUGCAUGUGAACCAGCGGAGUGUGAGCAUCGACAGGGGCACCCUACUCCUGGAUGAGUAUGCCAAUAAGCCCUGGAGCAAUCCGGAAAAGGAGGUUCUGUCGCCGCAUCGUCCGCCCGCACCGCCCACCGAAUACUUUCAGUUCCAUGUCGGCGGCUACGAUCCGGCGAAUUUGCUGCGCCCCACCAAUGUGGAUGCACCCGCUCUGGAGGGUUACAUUGGCUGUGUGCGGGGGCUGAAAAUCGGUACGCAGUUGAUCGACUUGGCGGAAAUCAAUGAAAGGAAUAUAGCGCCCAUCCAGGAAGGUGUUCUGCCCAAUUGCCAGAUCAAAUGCGAUGCGGAGCCCUGCAAGAAUGGAGGGAUUUGCCAGGAACACUUUGCCGAACAGCUCUCCACCUGCGACUGUGAGAAUACCAGCUUCCUGGGCGAGUUCUGUUCGGAGGAGAAGGGCGCCGACUUUAGCGGCGAGUCCACGCUGCAGCGCAAGUUCGAGCUGUCGGGCCGGGUCAACUAUGUGCGCCUGCAGCUGGCCUUCUCCUCGUUCGACCUGCGGCGGGCCAACCGCAUCAUGCUGCUGCUGCAGACGGCAGCGGAGCGCAGCUACUACCUUCUGCUGGCCAUCACCUCGGACGGGUACCUGCAGCUGGAGGAGGAUCGCGAGCAGGGCCAGACGGUGGGCGCUCGCAUCGAUCGGAGUUUCCUGAACAGUGCCAGGCACUCGGUCUACUACGUGCGCAACGGCACCCAGGCGCAGCUCUUCAUCGACCGCGAGCAGGUGCCGCUGACGGAGUUUGCCGCCCGAGUGCUUACCACCAGCGGGGAGGCCGGGGCGAAUCGCGUCCAGAUUGGUGGCAUCAACAGCACGGACUCGCGGUUUGCCGUCUUCAAGAGCUACAGCGGUUGCCUGUCGAACAUCUACAUACAGGUGAACGGGCAUGUUAUGAAGCCACUCGAGGAGUAUAUGCUGUUCACCAAGUCGGGGGCCGACAACAUAACCGUCAUCAAUCCGCAGGGCGUACGCAGUGCCCAAUGCAAUGCCAAAUUCGAUGUGAGCGAACAGCCCACCCAGGAGCCUAUGGUCAACGUGAGCAUGAUACCGGAGCCUUGGGUGGAGGAGCCGCCGCAGCGAGUGCCCUAUAUUCCCAGAUUUGUGUACGAUGAGAACAAGAAGGAGGACUCCACACAGGUCGUCUUCCUCACGCUGACCAGCGUGUUUGUCAUCAUUGUCGUGUGCUGCCUGCUUGAGGUGUAUCGCAGUCAUUUGGCCUACAAGAAGCGCAUCGAGCGCGAGACGGACGAGGACAUUAUUUGGUCGAAGGAGCAGGCAACCAAAAUGCACGAGUCGCCAGGUGUUAAGGCCGGCCUGCUGGGCGGUGUUACGGCCGGCUCGGGCAACGGCCUGCCGCCCUAUACCUACAAGGCGCUGCCGCAAGAGGACAAGAAGCCAGGCAAUGGAGCCCCCUUGGUGGGCAUCUUGAAGAAUGGCAGUGCGACGGCCUCGCAGCCAGACAUGCCCACCACUGUCCUGACCAAAAAUGGUGACAUUGCCACGCGCAUCGAUGAGGUGCGUGAGGAGGAAGAGGAGGACGAAGAGGACUCCUCGCAGCCGCCGAAAGAGGAGGCACAGAAGGAUGCUCUUAUAAACGAAGGACCUUCCACAGAGCAUCCAACUCCGGCAAUAUCGGAGGACACUGCGGAUGCCCCUGGGCCAAAUGAGUCAGUGGCCGAGGCUCCAGCCGUGCCGCCUGCUGCUGCCACACCGAAUGGACAGCUGGAGGGAGAGGUGGAUGCCCCAUUACCGGUAAGCAGAGGCCACGAACCCCCACAGAAUCUUAUCAAAAUGGCGCCGCUUGUCACAAUCAGUGAGACCAAUCUGCAUGAGGCAUGUGGCAACGGCCUUGGCAUUGGCAUGUAAAUAACACGCACACCCCCAAGCACACCCCCCACAUGGCAUACUAAAACACGAAGACGAGCCAAGCCGCCUGUCAUUGCAUAACGUAAGACAGAGUAAACGGCCAGCAAAAUACAUAAGCAUAUUUUACAACUGUAAGGCAUGAAACUGCAUCCAGCCCCAUACAGACACCCAAAUAUUUGGACAGUCAACAGAAGAAGCAUAUAAGUCAGCGCAGGCGAAGCAGCAAGGCCAAGAGGAUGAGAAGCAGCAUGAAGACCCGCAAGAAGAGCAUCAGCAUGGAGAGGAGCAGCAUCAGGAGCAGCCGCCGCAACGAGGAAAAUCCCGCCACAAAGCACCCGACGACACAGGGCAUCCCUUUGAUGUCGGCGCCGCAAAUGCCAAUGCGACAACACAGUCCAUAGGAUCCACAGCGCCCCCAGCUACAGCACAAGCACCAACACCAGCAGCAGCACCAGCACCAGCCCCAGUACCAGUACUAGCCCCACCGCCACGUCAUCGUUCGAAAGCGGCGGCUUUGGGUGCCCCGUCGUUGCCGCUGCUCUAUCUGGUGGGUGGGGCGCUGCAGCAGCGACAGUUCGCGAAUCCAAUUAGUUACUUGGGUGGACCGCGACUGCAGCCGCGCAGUAAUCGCAACAGCAUCGACUCGAUAUUAUCGCUGGAUUAACGCCACCCCACGGCGGACCCUGCUAGUCCGGAACCAAGCUAGUCGCACACCUUCGUCAAUGGGGCAAGUGCAUCCUCGUUCAUGGUGCUGGUUGCCUGGCAACAAACUCAAGUUGCAGCAGGAUUAGCCUUUUUUUCUUUUUUUUUUUUAUAUGGACGUUGAUAUGCGUACCAUUUGAAGUGUGAACUCUAGUACUAGUUAGUUAGUUUACCAAUUUUUUAGUUAGCGAAUGUUGAUCGAAUUGUUGCUAAAAAUUAAAGGAAUUGUUAUUGAUAAUAA
rnacentral:misc_RNA from 1 species